ensembl:snRNA U6 U6 spliceosomal RNA
GUGUUCACUUCAUCAGCACAUGUGCUGAAAUUGAAACAAUAUAGAGAAGAAUAGCAUGGCCCCAGCGCAAGGAUGACAAGCAAACUUGCAAAGUGUUUCAUAAUUAA